GGCCCGUUGGUCAAGCGGUUAAGACACCGCCCUUUCACGGCGGUAACACGGGUUCGAGUCCCGUACGGGUCACCA
rnacentral:tRNA from 41 species